rnacentral:rRNA from 1 species
GACGAACGCUGGCGGCGUGCUUAACACAUGCAAGUCGAGCGGAAAGGCCCUUCGGGGUACUCGAGCGGCGAACGGGUGAGUAACACGUGAGUAACCUGCCCUGGACUUUGGGAUAACCCUCGGAAACGGGGGCUAAUACCGAAUACGACUUUUCCUCGCAUGAGGUUUGGUGGAAAGUUUUUCGGUCUGGGAUGGGCUCGCGGCCUAUCAGCUUGUUGGUGGGGGUGAUGGCCUACCAAGGCGACGACGGGUAGCCGCCNGAGAGGCGACCGCCACACUGGGACUGAGACACGGCCCAGACUCCUACGGGAGGCAGCAGUGGGGAAUAUUGCACAAAUGGGCGGGAAGCCUGAUGCAGCGACGCCGCGUGAGGGAUGACGGCCUGUGUAC